AGAUUGAACGCUGGCGGCAUGCCUAACACAUGCAAGUCGAACGGCAGCGCGGGGGCAACCCUGGCGGCGAGUGGCGGACGGGUGAGGAAUACAUAGGAAUCUACCCUGUCGUGGGGGAUAACGUAGGGAAACUUACGCUAAUACCGCAUACGACCGAGAGGUGAAAGCGGCGGACCGCAAGGGCGUCGCGCGGCUGGAUGAGCCUAUGUCCGAUUAGCUAGGUUGGCGGGGUAAGAGCCCACCAAGGCGACGAUCGGUAGCUGGUCUGAGAGGAUGAUCAGCCACACUGGGACUGAGACACGGCCCAGACCUCCGUACGGGAGCAGCAGGUGGGAAUAUUGGACAAGUGGGGCGCGAAGCCUAGGACUCCAAGCCAAUGCCGGCGUGGUGUAGAAGGAAGGCCGUUUCGGGUUAGUAACG
rnacentral:rRNA from 1 species